rnacentral:rRNA from 1 species
AGAGUUUGAUCCUGGCUCAGGACGAACGCUGGCGGCGUGCUUAACACAUGCAAGUCGAACGGAAAGGCCCUUCGGGGUACUCGAGUGGCGAACGGGUGAGUAACACGUGGGUGAUCUGCCCUGCACUUUGGGAUAAGCCUGGGAAACUGGGUCUAAUACCGGAUAUACCUCAUGGACUGCAUGGUUUGUGGGGGAAAGCUUUUGCGGUGUGGGAUGGGCCCGCGGCCUAUCAGCUUGUUGGUGAGGUUAUGGCUUACCAAGGCGACGACGGGUAGCCGGCCUGAGAGGGUGACCGGCCACACUGGGACUGAGAUACGGCCCAGACUCCUACGGGAGGCAGCAGUGGGGAAUAUUGCACAAUGGGCGCAAGCCUGAUGCAGCGACGCCGCGUGAGGGAUGACGGCCUUCGGGUUGUAAACCUCUUUCAGCAGGGACGAAGCGCAAGUGACGGUACCUGUAGAAGAAGGACCGGCCAACUACGUGCCAGCAGCCGCGGUAAUACGUAGGGUCCGAGCGUUGUCCGGAAUUACUGGGCGUAAAGAGCUCGUAGGUGGUUUGUCGCGUUGUUCGUGAAAACUCACAGCUCAACUGUGGGCGUGCGGGCGAUACGGGCAGACUUGAGUACUGCAGGGGAGACUGGAAUUCCUGGUGUAGCGGUGGAAUGCGCAGAUAUCAGGAGGAACACCGGUGGCGAAGGCGGGUCUCUGGGCAGUAACUGACGCUGAGGAGCGAAAGCGUGGGGAGCGAACAGGAUUAGAUACCCUGGUAGUCC